rnacentral:rRNA from 1 species
CCUACGGGAGGCUGCAGUGGGGAAUAUUGGACAAUGGGGGCAACCCUGAUCCAGCCAUGCCGCGUGUGUGAAGAAGGCCCUCGGGUUGUAAAGCACUUUCAGUGAGGAAGAACGCCUGGUGGUUAAUACCCAUCAGGAAAGACAUCACUCACAGAAGAAGCACCGGCUAACUCCGUGCCAGCAGCCGCGGUAAUACGGAGGGUGCGAGCGUUAAUCGGAAUUACUGGGCGUAAAGCGCGCGUAGGUGGCUUGAUAAGCCGGUUGUGAAAGCCCCGGGCUCAACCUGGGAACGGCAUCCGGAACUGUCAAGCUAGAGUGCAGGAGAGGAAGGUAGAAUUCCCGGUGUAGCGGUGAAAUGCGUAGAGAUCGGGAGGAAUACCAGUGGCGAAGGCGGCCUUCUGGACUGACACUGACACUGAGGUGCGAAAGCGUGGGUAGCAAACAGGAUUAGAUACCCUUAUAGUC